GAUGAACGCUGGCGGCGUGCUUAACACAUGCAAGUCGAACGGUGAAAGAGAGCUUGCUCUCUGGAUCAGUGGCGAACGGGUGAGUAACACGUGAGCAAUCUGCCCCUGACUCUGGGAUAAGCGCUGGAAACGGCGUCUAAUACCGGAUACGAGCUGCGAAGGCAUCUUCAGCAGCUGGAAAGAACUUCGGUCAGGGAUGAGCUCGCGGCCUAUCAGCUAGUUGGUGAGGUAACGGCUCACCAAGGCGUCGACGGGUAGCCGGCCUGAGAGGGUGACCGGCCACACUGGGACUGAGACAAGGCCCAGACUCCUACGGGAGGCAGCAGUGGGGAAUAUUGCACAAUGGGCGAAAGCCUGAUGCAGCAACGCCGCGUGAGGGACGACGGCCUUCGGGUUGUAAACCUCUUUUAGCAGGGAAGAAGCGAAAGUGACGGUACCUGCAGAAAAAGCACCGGCUAACUACGUG
rnacentral:rRNA from 1 species